CUGGCAAGGAGAGUAGGUUUCUCCUUCAGGUGUUUGGAACUGAGUUGGGAGAGUAGGUACCCGCGGUGGGGGCUGGACCAUGCUGCAGUGUGGGGAGACAAAGGGAUCCACAUCCAGGUCACUUCUUUUCCGCUUUGGGGGCUCGGUGCCCGGGCUGUCUCGUAGGCAAAGCCAUUGGGGUCCUGCCCGGCCCCAGUGGGUGCGGUGUCCUGCUCCUGGGGUGUCCUCUUGCCACUUUCUUUCUAAAGCUCCUCAUACUGGUGGCCGAGCUCAUAUCAGGUGUCUGAAGGAGGCAGGUUCUGAGCAUCUGUGUCCUGAUGGCUGCUGGAGCUUCUACUCCAAGUUCAAGGGCAGGAGAGCUCAACACUUGACAUCUUUCUUUGGAUAUGCCGCCUGGCUCAAGGAGACAGCAGAUGGCUGGAGUCCUGGUGUGAUGUGGCUGGAUGAUGCAUAAUCUCAGGACCCCUGCACUGGUGAAUAUGGGGUGAGUCCCAAAUUUUCCUAUAAACAUAUUAACGUACAAAGCAGUCCAGGAGCAGCAGUUAGGCAAACACUACGGCUUGCUGCCCUGGUGCCAUCUCUCACUGAGCUCACUAGCUAUUCACCGCAAUGAAUUACUGGGAUCUUGAGUGGUGAGAGGAGAAGAAGAGAGCAUGUAUGUAUAUGGUGGAACAUCAGAGAAGGGUGUGGACUCUGAGCCCCAGGAGCAUGAGCUGGUAGAGAAGAACCAAGCGUGUUGUCGAGCCUGCUAGACAGGUUCCUGGAGCAAGAGUGAGGAGAUCGGGCCCCAUCAUUGGGACACUUUAGGGAGACAGCAGAUGGCUGCAGUCCUGGUGUGAUGUGGCUGGAUGAUGCAUAAUCUCAGGACCCCUGCACUGGUGAAUAUGGGGGAUUACCAAGUAUGGAAUAAAAUUGUCUGAAAUUAUAUUGUUGUUCCAGGCUCUGCCAUGAAAAUAUAUUGUCUGAAAGCACUGUGUGAUAUGCCAUAUUUGGACAAUAUAUUGAAACUGCCACAGCCACCCCAACCUUCAACCACCACCACCCUAAUCAGUCAGCAGCCAUCAAAACUGACACAAGACCCUCCAACAGCAAAAAGAUUAUGGCUCACUGAAGUUUCAGAUGAUUGGUAGCAACUUUCAGCAAUAAAGUAUUUUUUAAUUACGGUAUGUACAUUGUUUUUUAGACUUCAUGCUAUUGUACACUUAAUAGUCUACAGUAUAGUGUAACCAUAACUUUUAUAAGAAAUGGGAAACCAAAGCACUUGUUUGACUCACUUUAUUGCAAUAUUUGCUAUGUUGCUGUGGUCUGCAGCCAAGCUCACAAUAUUUCCAAAGUAUACCCGUAUCUAUAACUGAGGCAAGGCUGAGUGAAUCAGUAGGAAGAGUAAAGGCCUCGGGUUCAGAAGACGUGGGUUCCAGUCUGGAAUCAGCCAAUGAGUAGGAGCAUGACAUGGGGCAGUGUGGGACAUUAAGGUCCCAAACCUCAGGUUCCCCAUCCCGGGAGUGAGGAUUCUUCCCCUCAUAGUGUCCUUGUCAGGAUUUAUUGAAAUCACAAGACAGUGAAGGUCACAAAAGUGCCUUAGUCUCAGCCAGGCCUGAAAUCUGAGGCUCGGUUUCCUUAUCAGUAAAGAAUGAGUCACAAUAUGGAGUUUGUAGUCAUGUCAAAAGGAUUAAGUGUUAUGUGUAGAUUAAAAGAUAAGCCAGUGUCCUAUUAUGCACAUAAUGAAUGAGAAUAUAAAAAUGAUGAUAACUCAUCCUGGGUUAAUGGAACGUUUUGCUUCCUUCCUUAAUUUUUCUUUUACUAUUUUCCAAAUUCAUUUAAAUGUUUUGAAAUAUAUUUAAGAGUAUUCCAUGCAGCAAAUUAUUCAAAAACUUUCAAACCUGGAAUUUUACCUCUGGAAGGUUCAUUUGGUCUUUGCCAUGCAAAAGUAUGCCUGCUAAAAAUCACAGCCUCUCGUUGUAGUACUCUCAUGGGCUCUUGUAGAGGAAGGAGCAUCAAUCCACAGCCUCCUCAGCUUCUCUGAACUGCACGUUCCAAUUGCUGUCUGUGGAAGAACUCUGCAUUUCCGUUGCUGAACUGACCUGUGUCCCCAGCAUCCCUCUCAAAAGUGGCAGAGAGAAUCUGAGGCAACUCUUCAGACAAGAUAUUUGAAAAUUUCAGCAUCUUAAGUCCACUGUGUGAUGCUACAGCCUAUGAAACAUUGUGAGCUCACAGUCUUUGGUCCCCUUUCACAUGAAACAUGUGUCUGGAGAUGGUAAAGGUGGUGGAGUUACUAGAUGCCUCGUGGUAAUCACACCAGUAGGGUAUGUCUGAGACUUCUCACGUGAAGUGAAGUUUAAGCUGAGAUCUGAGCCUAAGGAGGCUUUAGCCAGCAGAAGAGGAGAGGGUGGAGACUAGCCAGAUAAAACAGGAAGGAAAUACCCUGUAACCUGGUUCAUCCAUUUGGAAAAUCCAGAGUGGCAAUCCCUUACCCAGAAGUUUGUCACGCUGGGAAAAACUUUGUGAAACUUAACAGGACAGUUGUAGAAAGUACCUGAACCCCUUCUGCCCUCCUUGCUCCCACCUCAGGCCUUUACUGACCACCAGCCCUCUAAGAGGAGUCCUAUAUUAUUACUAUGAUUUCUAUCUGUGAAACCAUAGAGAAGAAGAAAGUCGUUAGGUAAAACAAUUUGAGUAUGAUUUUAUUUUACGUGUUCUUCCACCACUCACUAUGCAAGCAACUUUUAAUAAAUUUUUCUUUCCUCUUCCCAAAUUUUCCACUGGAGGAAAUUCAGAAAUUGGCGGUCCAUGAUAACUGGUGAACAUAUUGUCAACCAAGAAAUGCAGAAGGCUGCAGAUAAGAAAAAUAGCUUUUACUUAGGGUCUUAUGAAUUAUAAUUUGUGAGGCACUGAUUUGAGUAGCAACUCAAAUGUGCUCAUAGGGAAACAAAAAUGGCAAGAGUUUAUAAAGGUGACAUAUAAAGACAUUCCAGAGAAGUUAUAUAGGUUAUCUUUACAGAACUAUGAUUGGUGCUGGCAGGCAUUCAGUCACUUGAGGCACCAGAUUGGUCGCCAUGCUCUGGUCUCCAGGGAAUAACGAAAACAAGUUCCAGUCGGUCUCAGGUUGGCCAGGUCAAAGGUUUAUGUUGCAUUUGGGGGUAGAAAUAUGUAAGUCCUACUUCCUUACUAGCCUCCUGGCUCCAUUUUCAAUCCCUUGGACUUAAGUAACCACAUUUUGUUGUCCAUGGUCCACGUGUCUAGAAUUGCAGCUUAGACAUCACUCAGCAGGAAUCUUUGGAAGGAUGGAGGGAGCCAGUUCUCAUUCAGAGUGACAUUUCUGGAAGAUUUUGUGGCAAAUGAAGCAUUAAGGGUAGCCCACGUACAUUAAAACUAGUGGCAAAAACAUUUCUUCUGCCUCUCCCUCCCAACUAUGAUGGGCAACCUAUAUGUGUGUAAUUGAGAGACAAAAGUAAUGUGAAAAAGCAUAUAGAUGUAGAAAUAUACCGUUAAUCCACACACCUAUUAUUUUUGUAGUGAAAUUCCCAACCAGGUAUGUACUACUAUGCUAUAAAAUUUUACAUCAGUUGUUUUUCUGAUUUCAAACUGCUAUCUUUAUAAACUAAUGAAGUGCAAGAAUGUGUAUUAGAGAAAAUAUUUUUCUAUAUUAUUUUCAUCUUGUUACAGAGCAAGAUGUACAUCCUUGAUAGUUUAGUUUAUAUUCCCCAGAUAUAUUUCUGUGUACAGUACUAUAUAAACAGGUUUACAUGAUAUAUAUAUUCUUCCAAAUUUUUCUCACAGUAUGUAUACAC